AGUAACGCGUGAGUAACCUGCCUUACACAAGGGGAUAGCCGUUGGAAACGACGAAUAAUACCCUAUGAAACUAUCACUUCGCAUGAAGCGAUAGUCAAAGUGUUAGCGGUGUAAGAUGGACUCGCGUCUGAUUAGCUAGUUGGUGAGAAAAAGCCCACCAAGGCAACGAUCAGUAGCCGGCUCGAGAGAGUGUACGGCCACAUUGGGACUGAGACACGGCCCAG
rnacentral:rRNA from 1 species